rnacentral:tRNA from 3 species
GGAGGAUUGGCUGAGCGGCCGAAGGCAGCGGUCUUGAAAACCGUCCCGGGAAACCGGCGGGGGUUCGAAUCCCUCAUCCUCCG